GAUGAACGCUGGCGGCGUGCCUAAUACAUGCAAGUCGAGCGAACGGACGAGAAGCUUGCUUCUCUGAUGUUAGCGGCGGACGGGUGAGUAACACGUGGAUAACCUACCUAUAAGACUGGGAUAACUUCGGGAAACCGUAGCUAAUACCGGAUAAUAUUUUGAACCGCAUGGUUCAAAAGUGAAAGACGGUCUUGCUGUCACUUAUAGAUGGAUCCGCGCUGCAUUAGCUAGUUGGUAAGGUAACGGCUUACCAAGGCGACGAUGCAUAGCCGACCUGAGAGGGUGAUCGGCCACACUGGAACUGAGACACGGUCCAGACUCCUACGGGAGGCAGCAGUAGGGAAUCUUCCGCAAAGGGCGAAAGCCUGACGGAGCAACGCCGCGUGAGUGAUGAAGGUCUCCGGAUCGUAAAACUCUGUUAUUAGGGAAGAACAUAUGUGUAAGUAACUGUGCGCAUCUUGACGGUACCUAAUCAGAAAGCCACGGCUAACUACGUG
rnacentral:rRNA from 1 species